rnacentral:rRNA from 1 species
AACUUUCACAACGGAUCUCUUGGUUCUGGCAUCGAUGAAGAACGCAGCGAAAUGCGAUAAGUAUGUGAAUUGCAGAAUUCAGUGAAUCAUCGAAUCUUUGAACGCACAUUGCGCCC